rnacentral:rRNA from 1 species
AUUGCUAGUAAUCGUGGAUCAGCAACGCCACGGUGAAUACGUUCCCGGGUCUUGUACACACCGCCCGUCAAGUCAUGAAAGUUGGUAACACCCGAAGCCGGUGGCCUAACCCUUUUGGGAGGGAGCCGUCGAAGGUGGGAUUAGCGAUUAGGACUAAGUCGUAACAAGGUAGCCGUACCGGAAGGUGCGGCUGGAUUACCUCCUUU